rnacentral:lncRNA from 1 species
UCAUCCCUUUGACCCAAAUGUUCAAGGUGACCUAAGAUUUAACUAUCAACCUUAAUUUAGUUGAUCACAUUGUAUUUCAACUUUUCAAAUCCAUCUCAUGGAUUAUUCUGAUCAAAAUUUUACUAAAUUGAAAUACACUAAUGCAUAUCUCCUACUAAUUCAGAAGGGUCAAUUUUAUUUGACUCACACACAGACUUGAUAAAUACUUGACUGCACCU